UUAAAGGGGUAAUUUUCCUCAUCUCCUCUUAUUCUCUCUGUGAGUCUUUAUGAAUGGAACGUCACUUGUACAGCUGUUUCUGAAAACCAGAUGGAGUUGUCCUUUUCAUCCUCGCACCGUGUGUUAAGUGAAGAUGUUAUCUUUUAGCUUGUUGACUGUUCUAUGAAGGCUGGAAUGUCAUGACUUAUUUACAAUAAAGAUGUUAUCUUUUAACUUGUUGACAGUUCUAUGAAGGAUGGAAUUUCAUAACUUAUUUACAAUAACAGUGUCAUGCCUGCCUGGAUAGAGAAAUGCUGCUAUUCAUGUUUUCUCAGUUUAGUUUUUUUGUUGUGUUUACCAUAAGAUUAAUCUAUAUUCCCAAUUCUGU
rnacentral:lncRNA from 1 species